rnacentral:rRNA from 2 species
CUAGCUGGUCUGAGAGGAUGACCAGCCACACUGGAACUGAGACACGGUCCAGACUCCUACGGGAGGCAGCAGUGGGGAAUAUUGCACAAUGGGCGCAAGCCUGAUGCAGCCAUGCCGCGUGUAUGAAGAAGGCCUUCGGGUUGUAAAGUACUUUCAGCGGGGAGGAAGGGAGUAAAGUUAAUACCUUUGCUCAUUGACGUUACCCGCAGAAGAAGCACCGGCUAACUCCGUGCCAGCAGCCGCGGUAAUACGGAGGGUGCAAGCGUUAAUCGGAAUUACUGGGCGUAAAGCGCACGCAGGCGGUUUGUUAAGUCAGAUGUGAAAUCCCCGGGCUCAACCUGGGAACUGCAUCUGAUACUGGCAAGCUUGAGUCUCGUAGAGGGGGGUAGAAUUCCAGGUGUAGC